rnacentral:rRNA from 1 species
CCCGCUGAACUUAAGCAUAUCAAUAAGCGGAGGAAAAGAAAAUAACAAUGAUUCCCUUAGUAACGGCGAGUGAAGGGGGAUAAGCUCAAAUUUUAAAUCUGACUUGGUUAUACCUAUCAGAGUUGUAAUUUGAAGAAGCGUUUUCCGCGUCUCGGUUGACCCAAGUUCUUUGGGAUAAGGCAUCAUGGAGGGUGAGAAUCCCGUUCGGUUGACCUUAUGUCGCUUUACGAUACGCUUUCUAAGAGUCGAGUUGUUUGGGAUUGCAGCUCAAAAUGGGAGGUAAAUUUCUCCUAAGGCUAAAUAUCGGCGAGAGACCGAUAGCGAACAAGUACCGUGAGGGAAAGAUGAAAAGAACUUUGAAAAGAGAGUUAAAUAGUACGUGAAAUUGUUGAAAGGGAAACGAUUGAAGUCAGUCGUACCGACGAGAAAUCAGCUCUUUGAGUGCCUUCUUGUGGGCGUGUGUGAGUCUUUAACGGGCCUCACUGUUUGCAUGUUUUGUGCUUUUUUGGGUGUACUUUUUCGUAUGGUAGGCCAACGUCAGUUUCGAUUACCAUAAAAUGAUCAGAUGAAUGUAGCUUCGAUUUCGAUUGAAGUGUUAUAGCCUUUGGUAGAUGUGGUAAUCGAAACUGAGGAUUGCAACGAAUACCCUUUGGGCUAUCCGUCUGACCUCUGAAAGUUACUUAGGUGCCGAAAGCUUGCUUACGGUUAUUUAAGUUGGCGGUCAAUAGGUUAGAACGCGAUUACAUUCGUUAAGGACGUUGGCGUAAUGGCUUUAAACGACCCGUCUUGAAACACGG